rnacentral:rRNA from 1 species
GACGAACGCUGGCGGCGUGCUUAACACAUGCAAGUCGAACGAUGAACCCGGAGCUUGCUCCGGUGGAUUAGUGGCGAACGGGUGAGUAACACGUGAGUAACCUGCCCUUGACUCUGGGAUAACUGCGGGAAACUGUAGCUAAUACCGGAUACGACCCUCGGCGGCAUCGCCAGGGGGUGGAAAGAAUUUCGGUCAAGGAUGGACUCGCGGCCUAGCAGCUAGUUGGUGAGGUAACGGCUCACCAAGGCUACGACGGGUAGCCGGCCGGAGAGGGUGACCGGCCACACUGGGACUGAGACACGGCCCAGACUCGUACGGGAGGCAGCAGUGGGGAAUAUUGCACAAUGGGCGCAAGCCUGAUGCAGCAACGCCGCGUGAGGGAUGACGGCCUUCGGGCUGUAAACCUCUUUUAGUAGGGAAGAAGCGAAAGUGACGGUACCUGCAGAAAAAGCACCGGCUAACUACGUGCCAGCCGCCGCCGUAA